CACCGCGGUUAAACGAGAGGCCCCAGUUGAUUCUAUCACGGCGUAAAGGGUGGUUAAGGAAGACAAGAUAAUAAAGCCAAAUGGCCCUUUGGCCGUCAUACGCUUCUAGGUGUCCGAAGCCCAACCGCACGAAAGUAGCUUUAACAGAAUUUGCCCGACCCCACGAAAGCUAAGAAA
rnacentral:rRNA from 1 species